rnacentral:lncRNA from 1 species
AAAUUUGUUUUUUUUAAUAUAUUUUUUAAAACUUUUUGCAUUACCCACCUCACCUUCAAAUGUUUUUUUUUCUAGACCUUUUUUCUUUCCUCAGAGAUCUCUCUCACGAUCUCUUUCCCUUUCUCUUCUCUCCCUACACAUUACCACUAUUUCCACACUCCUUUCUUCCUCUCUUUUCUUGUCACCUCCAUUUCCCCACUCCUACAUAUUUUCUCAUCUAAACAUAGUCCAUGAUCAUACCCAUCUCUCAUUGCCCCAUCUAUGUGAAGUUCAAAUCUCAGCACUACCACCAUCCUCC